AUUGAACGCUGGCGGUAUGCUUAACACAUGCAAGUCGAACGAUGAGAAAGAGCUUGCUCUUUCGAUUAGUGGCGGACGGGUUCGUAACGCGCAGGAAUCUAACUAUUAGUGGGGGACAACUUAGGGAAACGUAAGCUCAUACCGCAUACGCCCUACGGGGGAUAGAAGGGGAUCUCAAGACAGUUUGCUAAUAGAUGAGCCUGCGUAGGAUUAGAUAGUUGGUGGGGGAAAAGCUCACCAAGGCGACGAUCCUUAACUGGUUUGAGAGAAUGAUCAGUCACACUGGAACUGAGACACGGUCCAGACGCCUACGGGAGGCAGCAGUGGGGAAUAUUGGACAAUGGGCGAAAGCCUGAUCCAGCAAUACCGCGUGUGUGAAGAAGGCCUUAGGGUUGUAAAGCACUUUCAAUUGGAAGGAAAACCUCGAAGCUAAUACCUUCGAGUUUGACAUUACCUUUAGAAGAAGCACCGGCUAACUCCGUGCCAGCAGCCGCGGUAA
rnacentral:rRNA from 1 species